rnacentral:rRNA from 1 species
AUUGAACGCUGGCGGCAUGCUUUACACAUGCCAGUCGAACGGUAACAGGGCGCAAGGUGCUGGGGGGUGGAGAACGGGUGGGUAAUGCAUCGGAACGUGCCCGGUCGUGGGGGAUAGCUAGUCGAAAGAGUAGCUAAUACCGCAUACUAUCUAUGGAUGAAAGCGGGGGGCCGUAAGGCCUCGCUCGAUUGGUGCGGCCGAUGUCAGAUUAGGUAGUUGGUGGGGUAGAGGCUCACCAAGCCAACGAUCUGUAGCUGGUCUGUCAGGACGACCAGCCACACUGGGACUGAGACACGGCCCAGACUCCUACGGGAGGCAGCAGUGGGGAAUUUUGGACAAUGGGCGCAAGCCUGAUCCAGCAAUGCCGCGUGUAGGAAGAAGGCCUUCGGGUUGUAAACUGCUUUUGUCCGGAACGAAACGGCUCUGGUUAAUACCCGGGGCUAAUGACGGUACCGUAAGAAUAAGCACCGGCUAACUACGUG